rnacentral:lncRNA from 12 species
UACAAAUAUUAAAAAUUUAAAAUAAUAAAAAGGGCUAUUUUUUUAUUAAGUACGUCUUAUGUCAUUUUUUUAUUUCCCGAGUCUGAUGCAAAACGUCUUAAUGCCUCAUGAGAGGAUGCAUGCUAAGUGAACAAACUGAUAUACUUAUGCUCUCAAAAAACAUUUUUUUUUACCCUGAAGUGCUAGUGCUAGUGAAGUGAAGUGCUUAUAUGGCAGACAUUUAAGUUAGGUUGUCAUGGUAACUAACUGCAGAGAAUUGUGGUCAUAUUUGCUCUAUUAUCUGUGCCAUGUCCUAGCAGGAUGGCCGAGGUUCCUAUCUGCCUCACCCAUGCUCAGUUCAAGACAGCGUUUUCUUGAUCCAGAAUCCUUUCUUCAGCAAUUCCCAGAGAAACUUUCCUAGAUUCUGUGGCCUCUAAGAAUAUUUACUGAAAAAUGAUCAUACCGUAGGAUCUCAUCUUCAUCCAUCUUAUAAUUAAAAGGCUCAAAUGCUCUAUCUGUCCAUGUAGAACAAAAAUAUCCAUUUUUUUGUCAAUGUAAACAAAUGGGGCUACCUCUGGCCCAACACAAGACAUCGUCUUGUUAUAAAGGUACACGCGCUACAUACAGAGACAUACGUGUACUGAAUGAAACCUCACGUAAGACAAUGCUGACUUUUGCCACUUGCAGUCUGCCCUAAGGUUUUCUGUUCUAUCCUACUUAAGUUCUUAGAAUGCUGAUUAAGGCCCACCCGCUUGACCUCAUAAUUCAGUCUGGGGUUGAGCCUCCAGGUUGCAAAGUGUCCUCUCAAUCCUGGUCCCUCCAUCAAUUUUAUGGUUCUCCGCCUCACCAUUAAUGCAUCCUUGGCCUCUCACAAUGAAAGGAGAAUGACUGGCGGCAUAAGCAGCUCUACGAGCAUGGACUCAGAUAAAGAUUUGCGUCCUACAUGUACGGUGCCCCCAGAAAAGGAGCUGCCUCUGUGUCAUCACACUUGGUGGCAGGACGCCCAUUUCCGCUCAGGCUCAGGCUGCUCCAUGCCAAUGUGCUCACCUGGCUCACCACCGUGGAAAAGACUCACACGGAAACAUCUGGCCUCGAAUUAUUGCUGGAACGAACCUGGGAACCAUCCCACCACCAGCAUCACCGCCACCAGCACCACCACUACCACCGGCCAUCGCCAGCACAACUGCCACCAGCACCAUCAGCACCACCGCCGCCACCACCACCACCGCCACCAGCACCAGCACCACCACCACCACCAUCUCCACUGCCACCAGUACCACUGCCACCAGCACCACCACCACCACUUUCACCAGCACCAGCACCACCAGCACCACCACCGCCACUGCCACCAGCACCACCACCAUGCACAUGCACAGCCUCUGCAAAGUCUAAUCUGAACUCAGAAUGUUGCAAGAGCCCACCUGAGAGUUGUGUGACCAAACCUCAGUCCAAGAGCCAAAGCAUUUAACCCGCUGGCAUCCAACAGUUCAGAAAAUGAACUGAAUUUAGAACGCCAAGGAAGCACUGAAGUUCUUUCCUUUCUGUUUGAGGCCCUUCUGGACAUCACAGCAUUCAACAAAGCAACAUAACUGACAAGCAGCAAUGGCCAAAGUGAAUUCAGUUUUGCAAAUGAGCGAGGCUCUUUGCUUCUCCAUGGAUUUGCCCUGCAGCUGCCACUCACUGACAAGCGACAGAACCAGGCUGUGUCACACAUUUGAGGGAUGACUUCAGGACUCCCCACAUUUGGCUGCUCCUGGUCUCAGACCAUCAGAAAUAGUCGACUUUGGCCACUUUUUUUUUUUUCUAUAAACUACCCCAGAUUAAAACCUCUUUUGCCCCCAACAGUUUGUUCCCAGAACAAGGUAUUUCCAAGUAAAAGGCAAUUAUGUGAAAUCUACCAUCAGGCCACAGAAAACAGAGUAAACAUUUAAUAUAUUUAAACAAUCAUGCCUGUAUUUCUGCUUUGUUAGCUUAAAGCAACUCACGGACUCCAAGUAUGUAUCCCUUCGGUGCCAACAUCAGGCAGCUGCAAAUGUGCAGAAAGAGCACCUAGAAGCCAAUUCCAAGAUUUCAGGAAAGCUCACAGAAAGAGCAUGCUUCUCCAUGAUAAGACUGCAGAGGCUAACUAGCACAUCUGGGGUCUGUACUUCAGGCUGGAGUUAUAUCAUCCACACGGAGUAGAUAUUCUUUUUAAAAAUCUUAUGCUGAUCCACAGUUUUGAUUAGCAGUUAUCUAAAUCUCCAAUUAAAAAAAAGAUAUAACAUUUUUUUUUCACACCAAAUGUCAUUUGGUAGAUUUUAUAUUUCCCAACAUGGGAUCCAGGAGAUGACAAUAGCUAAAGGAGUCCUUGAGGGUGAAAAUAUUGGAAACUACUUAGAAGUUAUUCUCAGGAAAUAAUUGAGAAAAAUGUAGCCACAAAACAAUUUAUCACAGCCCCACCUGUGAGAUGGGAAAUUCAAAGCCACAGAAAAGACCAGUAACAGAAGAUUUAUCAAUAAAUGAUGACACACGUACA